rnacentral:rRNA from 1 species
AUUGAACGCUGGCGGCAUGCUUUACACAUGCAAGUCGAACGGUAACAGGCAGCAAGGUGCUGACGCGUGGAGACCGGGUGAGUAAUGCAACGGAACGAGACCCGCCGUGGGGGAUAACUACUCGCAAGAGUAGCCAAUACCGCAUACGACCUAUGGAUGAAAGCGGGGGACCGUAAGGCCUCGCGCGAUUGGAGCGGCCGAUGUCAGAUUAGGUAGUUGGGGGGGGAAAGGCUCACCAAGCCAACGAUCUCUAGCAGGUCUGACAGGACAACCGGCCACACUGGGACUGAGCCACGGCCCAGACUCCUACGGGAGGCAGCAGUGGGGAAUUUUGGACAAUGCGCGCAAGCCUGAUCCAGCACUGCCGCGUGCAGCAAGAAGGCCUUCGGGUUGUAAACUGCUCUUGUACGGAACGAAACGGCUCUGGUUAAUACCCGCCGCUAAUGACGGUACCGUAAGAAUAAGCACCGGCUAACUACGUG